UACGUAGGGGGCUAGCAUUGUCCGGAAUCAUUGGGCGUAAAGCGCGUGUAGGCGGUCCGGUAAGUCCGCUGUGAAAGUCGGGGGCUCAACCCUCGGAUGCCGGUGGAUACUGUCGGGCUUGAGUACGGAAGAGGCGAGUGGAAUUCCUGGUGUAGCGGUGAAAUGCGCAGAUAUCAGGAGGAACACCAAUUGCGAAGGCAGCUCGCUGGGACGUUACUGACGCUGAGACGCGAAAGCGUGGGGAGCAAACAGG
rnacentral:rRNA from 1 species